UUACUUCCUCAUAUGAACUACCAAAGAAAUUGGAAAAACCAAAGAUUGUCUUUACAUUCCAAUUUUAAGGAACGUAAUUCCGUCACUAUAGUAGAGAUGGAUGAAUGUUUUGUUUGACAAAACAUUGUUCUUUAUUAAUCAAUGAUUGGAUUAUAGUAAUCUAAUUGAUUGUCUCUAUAGUAGAGAUGAUAUGGUAGUGUUAACUGUUUAGAAUAUAAAUGAUGCUUAAAACCCAAAAGGUUGCAAGGUAGUGACUAAUCCCAACUGAGUUGUGAUACCUCUAAA
rnacentral:lncRNA from 1 species